UUUUUUUUUUUUUUUUUUUUUCGGAGCUGGGGACCGAACCCAGGGCCUUGCGCUUCCUAGGCAAGCGCUUUACCACUGAGCUAAAUCCCCAACCCCCCCUUUUUAAACAAGUACAAAGUCACUCAGAGAACCCUCAGGAGCAGGUUUCCCAGUGCCUGGUGCUUCAGAGAGGGGCGGCAAGACUCACAGAAGCUAAGUAGGGCAGGCAGUGGCAGCUUGGAGACAAGAUGAAGUAAGUUACCCUGCAUCCGGGGAACAGAGAAAAAUAAACUACUCACAGGCUCAAGGUGGCAAGAAGCAGAAGCCCGGGAGAAGCAGAAGACCCGAAGAAGCACAGCCUGGUCAUUUUGCACCAGUAGUGGAACGAUCACGUGAUACGUUAUCAACACCAACUCUGUACCAAGGUAGGGCUCAUGUUCCCACAAUUGCCGAGGCUGUGCCAACAGCAGCAGCCCUCCACUCCCAGGAGGAUUCCCCAGUCCUACUGCUGUCUCAUUGGAAAACCCCACUAGGGCUAUACAGUGCAACCUCCCUGACUGCUGUAGCCUCACCCUGCUGGGCCAAUGGGGCCAUGAUCUACCAUCUUGUCUCAGAUCCUCCUAGAAGACAAGGAUCCAUAGUGUGGUCUCUUCCAUAUCCCACGCUCAUGUUUUUGUGCUUCAUGUUGGCUCUGCUACUUUAAGUUGUCACAAGCGUAGGACAGAAGUGUUGUCUCGUGCCCUUAGCACAGGUGGCUGUAACGUGUCUCACGGAGAAGAGGCAUGCGUAGAAAAAGCUUCAUCUCAGGCACACUGUGUUGCUGGCUGUGGGUUCAGUCAUAAUGACUCCACAGUGCGUGGGAAACAAGGUUUUUCAGCGUCUGCAGUAACCGAAGGAAACAGGCCAACAGUGACCACGUAACCACACACUGGAGUAAGGUGUCUGACCUAACCUUCUGCUUGACGAAGCUGACUCAAUAUCGGCCUUCACUCUACAGAUGCCAAUAGAAUCCUGAGGGCCAAAUCAAAAGACCUGACUACAGGAGAUGAAGAACAGUUGCCUUGCUACUCUCCCAGAGUCAACGGUUUUUCCACUUCAAUCAUUCUCCCUUUAACCAACAGGAGUAAAGAAUGGCUGUCCCCUGACAAGCUCCACCCAGCAGCUGACUCAGACAGAUGCGGACACCCACAGCCAAACAGUGAAUAGAGCGUGGGGACGCUUAUGGAAGAACAGGAGGAAGGAUUGUGGCUUCCUGGAGGAGAGAGGAACUCCACGGGAAGACCGAAUGAACCAACUAACCUGCAUCCUCAGGGCUCUCAGAGACUGAACUAUCAACCAAAGAACAUACACAGGCUGGACCUAGGACUUCCUGCACAUCUGUAGAAGUGCAGCUUGGUCUCCACGUGGUUCCCAAACAACUGGAAGGGGUGGGGGGAAGGGAGCUUUGAAAGCCCACCCCCCAGUGACACGCUUCCUCCAACAAGGCCACACCUCUUACUCCUUUUAACCCUAUCAAAGAAUUCCACAACCUGGUGCCCAAGCCCUGGAAUACCUGAGUCUAUGCGACCAUUCUUAUUCAAACCACCACGUGGUCUGUCGUGGCAAGGAAAACACAGGCACAGAAGCGAAAGACCUGGUCACGCUGCACCCUGCCUGGAAGCAGAGAGAACAGGUGCCCUUACCCACUGAGCCAUCCUCAGCUCAAGAAAAAUUUUUGAGAAGUUAACUGAGCCAACUUUUAGGGAUUUUUUGUUUCUUUCGUUUUUUUCUUUUUGUUUUGUUUUUUGGUUUUGUUUUGUUUUGGAUUUUGGGUUUGUUUGUUUUUUUUGUUUUUGUUUUUGUUUUUUGGAAACAAGGUUUCACAAUGUAGCUUUCAAGACUAGCCUUGCACUCCCACUGAAGACUUGGUCCCUAGGUAGCUGUGCUAUUUUAGAAAAUGCUGGAAACUACUUUACCUAGUAUGGCCUUGUGGGAAGAAACAUGUCAGUCAGGAGAGCGUCCUUAGGAGAACGUGCCUGCCACUGGUAUACUUUACCUCACGGUGGUCUGAAGCAUCAGAGCCUGUUCAUAACCUGAAACCUGUGAAAACCUGUCAAAAUCCAUUCUUCUUCCUCCGCUUCCUUCAGACACUUGUCACAGUGACUAUGAGAGAGAGAGAGAGAGAGAGAGA